rnacentral:rRNA from 1 species
UACGUAGGGUGCAAGCGUUAAUCGGAAUUACUGGGCGUAAAGCGUGCGCAGGCGGUUUUGUAAGUCUGUCGUGAAAUCCCCGGGCUCAACCUGGGAAUUGCGAUGGUGACUGCACGGCUAGAGUGUGUCAGAGGGGGGUAGAAUUCCACGUGUAGCAGUGAAAUGCGUAGAGAUGUGGAGGAAUACCGAUGGCGAAGGCAGCCCCCUGGGAUAACACUGACGCUCAUGCACGAAAGCGUGGGGAGCAAACAGG